UACGGAGGGGACUAGCGUUGUUCGGAAUUACUGGGCGUAAAGCGUGUGCAGGCGGUUUGUUAAGACAGGUGUGAAAUCCCCGGGCUUAACCUGGGAAUUGCGCUUGUUACUGGCAAGCUAGAGUGCGUCAGAGGGAGGUGGAAUUCCACGUGUAGCGGUGAAAUGCGUAGAGAUGUGGAGGAACACCGAUGGCGAAGGCAGCCUCCUGGGAUGACACUGACGCUCAUACACGAAAGCGUGGGGAGCAAACAGG
rnacentral:rRNA from 1 species